CAGUCAUACCAACGGGGAAAUCAACCUUUCGAGUUUGUUCUUGUGGGUUUCGAGGAGUUUAAAAGCCUUCGGAUUUGCGAGGAUUGGGCUCCAUUGGUGUACUUUCUCGUACGGUUAGUCAACAUCGGUUUUGAAUGUCAUAAAAUGACUGGAGGAAUGUGGCUUCGAUCCCGUAUCGAAGUGUUAUAACCUUUGGUAGAUGUGAUGUUCGAGACCGAGGAUUGCAACGGAUACCCUUCUGGGCUAUUCGUCUGAUCUCUG
rnacentral:rRNA from 1 species